CCUACGGGCGGCAGCAGUGAGGAAUAUUGGUCAAUGGCCGUAAGGCUGAACCAGCCAAGUAGCGUGAGGGAAGACUGCCCUAUGGGUUGUAAACCUCUUUUAUGCGGGGAUAAAGGUGUCCACGUGUGGAUGUUUGCAGGUACCGCAUGAAUAAGGACCGGCUAAUUCCGUGCCAGCAGCCGCGGUAAUACGGAAGGUCCGGGCGUUAUCCGGAUUUAUUGGGGUUAAAGGGAGCGUAGGCCGGUCUUUAAGCGGGCCGUGAAAUUUUGUGGCUCAACCAUGAGAGUGCGGCGCGUACUGGAGGCCUUGAGUGCGCGGGAGGCAGGCGGAAUUCGUGGUGUAGCGGUGAAAUGCUUAGAUAUCACGAAGAACCCCGAUUGCGAAGGCAGCCUGCCGCAGCGUUACUGACGCUGAAGCUCGAAAGCGCGGGUAUCGAACAGGAUUAGAUACCCUGGUAGUC
rnacentral:rRNA from 1 species